GUGAGGAAUUUUCCGCAAUGGGUGAAAGCCUGACGGAGCAAUGCCGCGUGAAGGAUGAAGGCCUAUGGGUUGUAAACUUCUUUUCUUAGAGAAGAAUAUUGACGGUAUCUGAGGAAUAAGCAUCGGCAAACUCUGUGCCAGCAGCCGCGGUAAUACAGAGGUCUCAAGCGUUGUUCGGAAUUAUUGGGCGUAAAGGGCGCGUAGGCGGGAAGGUGUGUCGACCUGUAAAUCUAUCGUUUCAAGCGGUAGGCUUGGGUUGAAACUGCCUUUCUAGAGGAUUUCAGGGGAGUUUGGAAUUUACGGUGUAGCAGUGAAGUGCGUGGAUAUCGUAAGGAAGGCUUGUGGCGAAGGCGAAACUCUGGGGAAUACCUGACGCUGAGGCGCGAAGGCUAGGUUAGCAAACGGGAUUAGAUACCCGAGUAGUCC
rnacentral:rRNA from 1 species